ACACCGCGGUGGCUCCGGCAGCCCCGGGCCCGCUGGUGACAGUGAUUGCAGCUGUGCUGUGCUGCAAUCACGGCCGCCGGGGCUGCCGUGGGGCGCCGCGGCUUUAUCCCGAAGGAAUUCGAUUUUUCUGCCACCUUUGGAACGUAACCGUGCCCCGUGCAAAGUCCUGUGUGUGGAGAAGGUGAAAGGAGAUCUCUCAUCCUGGCCACUUUCCCACACAGGGAGCUGUGACGUCCAGCAUGACCCUGAGAGGGUUUUAUCAACAUCCCAACCACAGCGCUUGGGGUCGGCUUCUCAGGAAACGGGGAAAUUCCAGGAAAAGGGAGUUCGGCGAAGCCCCCCGCGCGUCUCUCGGCGUGGAGAGCGCAGCUGGAACGUGAAGGGAGAAGGAAAUGAUGCAGCACAGAGAUACGGUGCCCGAAAAACCAGGCUGGCUUCGGGGAAGUGCCUGCCGCAGGCACGGUGCCCCCGCUGCCGGGGCGCCGCACCUGACCGCAAGAUGCCCGGCUCGAUGCAGCCGCUACCGGGAAAGGGAGUUCUCAGUAAGCAAAAGUGCACACUCAACACACCGAGGGUUCACCCACGGGCUCCUUCUCGGCAAGAGGUGCCCCAGCAGCGCUGCAGGGAUGGGUAAAGCCCGCUGCUGCCUGGCUCCGUGUGCUCAGGAUGCUCAGGAAUUUUUAGGAUGUUACGGGUGUUGCUCCAGCUCAGCCACAAACCCUACAUCAGCUUCCACAUGGAGAUUCACCCCCCUGGAUCUCCAGCAAGGAUAUUUGGGAUUGAUGGUGUUUUUCACAGCAAAGAUCCUCCCAACUCGCCCACCUGUGCCAGGAACGCUCUCCCCACGAAGCUGUGAGCUGCUGCCACAAGGAGCACGUCCUGCCUGGGUGCCCAGGGGACACUGAGGGUGCUGGGGGAGCUUUUCCCACUCAGGCAAGGGGGAAGGUGGCUCUCCAAGAACAAGAGUGGCGUGAGGAUGGCAGCGGUGGCAGUGGCCUGGUGAUGAUGGCAGCAGUGCAGUGAUGAGGGUGGUGGUCUGGCAGUGGUGGCACAGCAAUGACAACAGCAAUGACAGCAGUGUCACGGUGACAGUGGCAGAGUGAUGAUGACAGUGGCACGAUGACAACGGUGGCACAAUGAUGACGGCAAUGGCAGGGUGAUGAUAGCAUUGUCACGGUGAUGGUGGCAGUGGCUGGGCCAUCAGCCCAAGUUCAUGCAGAGCAAAUCCUUCGAGAGCAGCAGGAGCUGCCCCCGGCCCCUCCACGCCCCAGGGGUUUCCCCACACCGGCUCUCGCUUCCACUCUGAGUCACCCACGGGAGGUGGGGAAGUGCCUGAGCCCUUGUGCAAGGUCCCCAACGGAUACGGGCGAGAUUUGUCACUUCUUGUAAAUCACUGUGGCCCUUACGCAAGGGACAAACCUCAGCCAAGCUGCAGGGCCAGGCCUGGCCAUGCUGGAUGGACACAAAACCAUAUCCUGUGCCUGCAGCCCUGGGGGAAGCUGUGAAGCUUUCCAGGAGCGUGGGUACACACAGCUCUUUUCCAGGGAAUGCUGAGUGAACUGGGUGGGAAACAUCCCCUGGUGCCAGGGCAGGACAGGGGGAGCCAGCGGGGCCCUGCAGGGGUCCAAGGGUUCUGCUGGAGAGUCCAAAGUUCCUGCCGGAGCAGCCAUCGUCCUCAGGAGCUUGCACCAAGGGUAAUCCCAGCCUUCAUCCUCGGGGAUUUUGUUAGGCAGGAAAUCCCACAGGUGGUUUCCCUCGGGAGUUAAACCCAAGGCUCAUUCUUGAGGACUUCUGCACCACAGAUAAUCCCAAAAUGUGUCCUCAGGGUUUGCACCACGGCCAAUCCUGGUGUUCAUCCUCAGGGAUCUGCACCAUGGCUAACUCUGGUGUUCAUCCUCAGGGAUCUGCAGCUGACUAAUCCCUCUCUCCAGCAGCCAGUCCCAGUGCUCUGGGGGAGCUGAGAGCACAGUUAAUCCCGGUGCUCUUCCUCAGGUGUUUGCAUCACAGCUCAUCCCAAGGGGAGAGGUCCACUCUGGACAGCCCCUGCCAAUGCUGGUUUUUGGGACAGGGACUGGAAUCCCAUUGAUUUGGCCAUUCUGUGCCUGCUGCAGGGACCCCCUAGCUCAGGGUGACAUUCCCAAAGCACUCCCGCCUCUCUGCAGGUGCAGACUGCUCAUUUAGAAACCUCCUGACAGCAGCAAGCACCAUCCUGGGCUCUGUCCUGGCUUUGAGGAACUGGAGCCUGGAGGUUCCCCGACUAUCAAACAGGAACAUGGGAGGUGAUUCCCGCUGCUGUGCGAGCUCAACAUCCCCCACCCCUGAGGUUCGGGUCAUCACCUCCCAAAAACCCCUCUCUGCCCACCCCAAAGCCCCUCCAGCACCCGCCACACAAAGGAGCUCCCGGGACACGGUGUCUCUCUCGGAGCAUCCCGCGGGCCGGGGCAGGGGACAGAGCUGUCCCCGAGGGGCCCGUGCCCAGCGGUGACAAGGGACACCGUUGUGCCGGCGCCGCCACAAAGAUCCCUCUGUUCCCGCGGGGCGGCUGCGAGCGCCGGCGAACGGCGACGGGAGAAAGCACAGCCCCGAGCCCGCCGGCCCCUGAGCCCCGACCUCCCGCUGGAUUCGCCCGGGGCGCUGCAAAACAGAACCCCAAGAACCGCAGGGUGAGGCUGCGGGUGGGGUUUGGGGGGGCCAGGAAUCCCCACCCAUCCCUGGAGCUGGUGGCUCCUCUGUUCUUUGAUCAUCCUCCCUGCUUUGCAUGAAUUCGGUUCCAGCGUGGGCUGCUUUAAUAAUUUCCUGGAAUAAAUAACGAGCAUGGAAAGUAAACAA